rnacentral:rRNA from 1 species
AUUGAACGCUGGCGGAAUGCUUUACACAUGCAAGUCGAGCGGCAGCGCGGCCUUCGGGCUGGCGGCGAGCGGCGAACGGGUGAGUAAUGCACCGGAACAUGCCCAGUCGUGGGGGAUAACACUUCGAAAGAAGUGCUAAUACCGCAUACGUCCUGAGGGGGAAAGCGGGGGAUCGCAAGACCUCGCGCGAUUGGAGUGGCCGAUGUCAGAUUAGCUAGUUGGUGGGGUAAAGGCCUACCAAGGCGACGAUCUGUAGCUGGUCUGAGAGGAUGAUCAGCCACACUGGGACUGAGACACGGCCCAGACUCCUACGGGAGGCAGCAGUGGGGAAUUUUGGACAAUGGGGGCAACCCUGAUCCAGCCAUUCCGCGUGAGUGAAGAAGGCCUUCGGGUUGUAAAGCUCUUUCGGCAGGAACGAAACGGUGGGCUCUAACAUAGUCCGCUAAUGACGGUACCUGAAGAAGAAGCACCGGCUAACUACGUG